rnacentral:rRNA from 1 species
UUGCUGGGGGAUUAGUGGCGAACGGGUGAGUAACACGUGAGUAACCUGCCCUUGACUCUGGGAUAAGCCUGGGAAACUGGGUCUAAUACCGGAUACGACCAUCUGGCGCAUGUCAUGGUGGUGGAAAGCUUUUGUGGUUUUGGAUGGACUCGCGGCCUAUCAGCUUGUUGGUGGGGUAAUGGCCUACCAAGGCGACGACGGGUAGCCGGCCUGAGAGGGUGACCGGCCACACUGGGACUGAGACACGGCCCAGACUCCUACGGGAGGCAGCAGUGGGGAAUAUUGCACAAUGGGCGCAAGCCUGAUGCAGCGACGCCGCGUGAGGGAUGACGGCCUUCGGGUUGUAAACCUCUUUCAGUAGGGAAGAAGCGAAAGUGACGGUACCUGCAGAAGAAGCGCCGGCUAACUACGUGCCAGCAGCCGCGGUAAUACGUAGGGCGCAAGCGUUAUCCGGAAUUAUUGGGCGUAAAGAGCUCGUAGGCGGUUUGUCGCGUCUGCUGUGAAAGACCGGGGCUCAACUCCGGUUCUGCAGUGGGUACGGGCAGACUAGAGUGCAGUAGGGGAGACUGGAAUUCCUGGUGUAGCGGUGAAAUGCGCAGAUAUCAGGAGGAACACCGAUGGCGAAGGCAGGUCUCUGGGCUGUAACUGACGCUGAGGAGCGAAAGCAUGGGGAGCGAACAGGAUUAGAUACCCUGGUAGUCCAUGCCGUAAACGUUGGGCACUAGGUGUGGGGGACAUUCCACGUUUUCCGCGCCGUAGCUAACGCAUUAAGUGCCCCGCCUGGGGAGUACGGCCGCAAGGCUAAAACUCA